rnacentral:rRNA from 1 species
UACAGAGGUGGCAAACGUUGUUCGGAAUCACUGGGCUUAAAGGGCGCGUAGGCGGGCCGCGAGGUCGGGGGUGAAAUCCUGCAGCUCAACUGCAGAAGUGCCUCCGAUACCGGCGGCCUCGAGGGGGGUAGGGGCGUGUGGAAUUCCUGGUGUAGCGGUGAAAUGCGUUGAUAUCAGGAGGAACACCCAUGGCGAAGGCAGCAAACUGGGCAUCAACUGACGCUGAGGCGCGAAAGCGUGGGUAGCAAACAGG